rnacentral:rRNA from 1 species
AUGCUGUCAGAAUCCUUUCUUUUUGUUUCACUAUUGGCAUGCUGCUUUAUUGAAACAUCCUCUAGUUCUCUUGUAGAUUAUAUCUUAGACAAGACUGAAACAUUGCCUGCUCACUUCAUUAUUUUUCUUGUUUGCUCGCGCACUAAUAUUACAUUGUUGGAUCAUAGUACAUUUGCUUUAAACCUUGAAGCUUUCUGCUUUUGUUAUUUGUUAUGGCCUUGUCUCUUGCAGAAAAAUACACUUCUUUUUGUUGAGUACUGUUAUCUGUAUCCUACAGUAAUAGAAAUUCUUAUGGCCUAA